rnacentral:lncRNA from 1 species
GUCUCUACUUCUUCGAGAUUAGACGGGAUACUCAUUGGGCACACGUUAUUUUCGUACUCAUACUACACUUCUCUGCAUUUUUGUUGCACGCGCAUAUCUGUCUCUAGUGGCCUACUGGGCGUGGCAGCAUGAUUGAUACGGAGACUUAGGUUGAGAUGCAUUUCUUGAGGCGACCCGCAGCCAGCAGAGUCUCUUUCAGUUUUCUGUAUUUAUUUCUGUCCAAUAUUGUAUUCUGGAUGGUUGUUGUAUUAUAUUAUUUCCUAGAAAUUGCUCAUGCACUUGUGACACCAGGUUCUGGGAUAGUUAUAGGAUUAUUCA